GACGAACGCUGGCGGCGUGCCUAAUACAUGCAAGUCGAGCGAAUCAAAGGGAGCUUGCUCCCUAAGAUUAGCGGCGGACGGGUGAGUAACACGUGGGUAACCUGCCCGUAAGACUGGGAUAACUUCGGGAAACCGGAGCUAAUACCGGAUAGUUUCUUUUCUCGCAUGAGAGAAGAUGGAAAGAUGGUUCUGCUAUCACUUACAGAUGGACCCGCGGCGCAUUAGCUAGUUGGUGAGGUAACGGCUCACCAAGGCGACGAUGCGUAGCCGACCUGAGAGGGUGCUCGGCCACACUGGGACUGAGACACGGCCCAGACUCCUACGGGAGGCAGCAGUAGGGAAUCUUCCGCAAUGGACGAAAGUCUGACGGAGCAACGCCGCGUGAGCGAAGAAGGCCUUCGGGUCGUAAAGCUCUGUUGUUAGGGAAGAACAAGUAUCGGAGUAACUGCCGGUACCUUGACGGUACCUAACCAGAAAGCCACGGCUAACUACGUGCCAGCCGCCGCGGUAACAC
rnacentral:rRNA from 1 species